rnacentral:rRNA from 1 species
GACGAGCCACACGAACGUUAUUCGGAAUUACUGGGCUUAAAAGGGUGCGUAGGCGAUGCGGAAAGUUGGGUGUGAAAUCCCUCGGCUCAACCGAGGAACUGCGCCCAAAACUACCGUACUUGAGGAAGAUAGAGGUGAGCGGAACUCACGGUGGAGCGGUGAAAUGCGUUGAUAUCGUGAGGAACACCCGUGGCGAAAGCGGCUCACUGGGUCUUUUCUGACGCUGAUGCACGAAAGCUAGGGGAGCAAACGGG